GACGAACCGAGCGAACGUUGUUCGGAAUCAUUGGGCGUAAAGCGCGUGUAGGCGGUCCGGUAAGUCCGCUGUGAAAGUCGGGGGCUCAACCCUCGGAUGCCGGUGGAUACUGUCGGGCUUGAGUACGGAAGAGGCGAGUGGAAUUCCUGGUGUAGCGGUGAAAUGCGCAGAUAUCAGGAGGAACACCAAUUGCGAAGGCAGCUCGCUGGGACGUUACUGACGCUGAGGCACGAAAGCGUGGGGAGCAAACAGG
rnacentral:rRNA from 1 species